CCUUUCAAACCUUGCAAAAAUGAAAAUGUGGGCUAAAGCAAUUUCUAUUGGAAAAAAAUAAUUUUGAAUUUUCAUGCUCCAAUGUUAAUUAAGUUUAUGAAAUGUCUGUGGUGUCAAAACCAUCACUACAUCCCUAGCUGAAUUGCUUGGGGGUGGGGUGUAGCUUAAAAAAUGGGGCUACUUCAUGGAGUUUCUACUGUACUAGUACUUCAGAGGUGUUGCAAUAAAAUCUGAAUUUCAGAAGCCAAAUGGUGUUCCAUCCCUUCUGAGACCAGCUGCAUACCCAAACAGCUGGUUAGGACCUUAUAUUGUAUUGCUGUACUCGAGAGAAAUGGCAUAACAAUUUUUGGGAUGCUUUUUCUCCAGUUAAACCUUCUUAAAAUUUAAUAUUUUGAGCGACAAACUACAUUUCAUUGUUUUAAUAUGUAAUUUGUUAUUGUACUCCUUCAAUUCUGAGGCAAGAAUUUAUGUUCAAUAGCAUACUAGGGCGACAUAUGGGAUAUAUCUAUACAGUACCUCCAUAAACUGAAGAUUCAUACUUACCUGCUCCCUGUUGCAUGUCCAUGUUCCAGUCCCCGUGUGGUGUUUACAUCCGUCAAAGCAAGGGCACGAUUUCAUGCUCUACUGCAGCCAAUGACUGGCCUCAGCGGUGACAGGGCCACAAGCAGCAUGUCACAACUGAAGCCAGGAGGACCCCACCUCAAAAUAUUAAUGUACCACAAAUCCUUACUUCCAUAUAGCAGCAUGCAGGCCAGGAGCUGCCUUGAUGACUACUGUCUGUCACUGAGAUGAGCCUUUAGGCUAGGGCUACACAACAAUUUUGGGUGUGACCAAAGAUCGCAGGGUAGACAUAGAAAUGGGGUUGCAGCGAGACUCGCAUGUUUGCUGCAACCACGACCCCAGAACUGAAAA